rnacentral:rRNA from 1 species
UACGGAGGAUGCGAGCGUUAUCCGGAUUUAUUGGGUUUAAAGGGUGCGUAGGCGGCCGAGUAAGUCAGCGGUGAAAUUUUGCAGCUUAACUGUAACAGUGCCGUUGAUACUGCAUGGCUAGGAUUUGGUUGCUGUGGGUGGAAUGUGUGGUGUAGCGGUGAAAUGCUUAGAUAUCACACAGAAUAUCGAUUGCGAAGGCAGCUCACAAAGCCAAGAUUGACGCUGAGGCACGAAAGUGUGGUGAUCAAA